UACGUAGGGUGCGAGCGUUAAUCGGAAUUACUGGGCGUAAAGCGUGCGCAGGCGGUUUUGUAAGCCAGAUGUGAAAGCCCCGGGCUCAACCUGGGAAUGGCAUUUGGGACUGCAAGGCUGGAGUUUGGCAGAGGAGACUGGGAUCCUGGUGUAGCAGUGAAAUGCGUAGAUAUCAGGAGGAAUACCGAUGGCGAAGGCAGGUCUCUGGGCUAUAACUGACGCUCGUGCACGAAAGCGUGGGGAGCAAACAGGG
rnacentral:rRNA from 1 species